UACCAGCACCCCGAGUGGUCGGGACGAUUAUUGGGCCUAAAGCAUCCGUAGCCGGCCUUACAAGUCCUCCGUUAAAUCCAGCUGCUUAACAGAUGGGCUGCGGAGGAUACUAUAAGACUAGGAGGCAGGAGAGGCAAGCGGUACUCAGUGGGUAGGGGUAAAAUCCGUUGAUCCAUUGAAGACCACCAGUGGCGAAGGCGGCUUGCCAGAAUGCGCUCGACGAUGAGGGAUGAAAGCUGGGGGGAGCAAACCGG
rnacentral:rRNA from 1 species